ensembl:lncRNA
GAGACGGGAGACGGGAGACAGGAGACAGGAGGCAGGAGACAAGAGACAAGAGACAGGAGGCAGGAGACAGGAGACAGGAGACAGGAGACAGGAGACAGGAGACAGGAGACAGGAGACAGGAGACAGGAGGCAGGAGACAGGAGGCAGGAGGCAGGAGGCAGGAGGCAGGAGGCAGGAGGCAGGAGACAGGAGACAGGAGAUAGGAGACAGGAGGCAGGAGACAAGAGACAGGAGACAGGAGGCAGGGGGUACCGGUACAGAGUUAAUGUGGAGACUAUAUACAGGGGGUACCGGUACAGAGUUAAUGUGGAGACUAUAUACAGGGGGUACUGGUACAGAGUCAAUGUGGAAGCUAUAUACAGGGGGGUACCAGUACAGAGUCAAUGUGGAGGCUAUAUACAGGGGGUUACGGUACAGAGUCAAUGUGGAGGCUAUAUACAGGGUGUUACGGUACAGAGUCAAUGUGGAGGCUAUAUACAGGG